GGGGGUGGGAGGGUGCAGUCAGGGUCAUCAGGCUCAAUCAGACUUCGCUGUGGCUGAAGCUGGGGCAAGGUGCGUGCAUGUGGAGGUGAAUAACCGGACUUCGUGGUGGGAGAAUCCAAGCCCCUGUAAUCCCUGAGGACUGGCGCCUCCUAAAGCCUCCUCUUUGAGCGGGUCUGCACGUUUGGUCUCCGUAACGCAGGCAAAGUUUGAGGACCCUUCUAAGAGAGCCACUGAAGCUUCAGUGUACUCUGCUCUGGGAGGAAGCCCUUUUGGAAACAACUGAGACCCUUUUUGCAUUUACCCAUGUUUACCUGUUUCUCUGCAGAAUUCCCACAUCCACACCCACCUUCCUAGUUCCAGGUUGGCUGGGGACCCCAGGAAAUUCACUGCAACUCUUGAUCUGGGAUUGCCCAUAAGUCCAUGGGUGUAUCUCAUCUUAGCCAGAAAAUGAGGAGGGGGCCAUGGGAGUUAAGUGGUUACCCCGGGAGCUGAAGGCUCCUCAUCCGAGGAGAAGAUGCCCACAGACAACAUCCACCAGGCGGUGGCCACAGAGGCUCGCUGUCCUUGCCUCUGAGGGUGCUGGGAGGUGGGGCACCAGGUGGCAAGGUCAGAGAGGGCAAGGGAGAGGGCGUGGGCUGUUUCUAGCCUCAGUUCACCUUGGUUUUCAUGAACAGAGACUUUCUCUGUUGCUUGGGCAUUGUUCUCCCCUUUUCCUGCUUCUUGAGGCUUUUUUGCUUGGCCAGCAACACUUUCUGGGGGUCCAUACCUGUCUGGAGGAAGAGGCCAGAUCUUGGCUCCCAGCGCCCUUUCUUGCCUCUGCCAGGCACACUCUAUCCACUCCCUCUGGUCACCAGGGGACUGGGCCUUACCUUGGCAAUGACUUUUUGCCUGAAGAUCUCUGAGUUGGCGAAGUAGAGAGGAGAGCAGUAAGUGAUGAUCUUUAUACCUUGGAUUUCUUGGACCUGUGGCAGGGAGAGUCAGCUCAGUCAGCAGCGAUAUCUUUUAUCGGUUUUUCACAAAACCCUUUUAUGUGGGGUGAUGUAGGGCGAAAGAGGGCGGUCAUGAGCUUGGAUUACCCACCCUAUUGUAGGUCUUGGGAUUCACAUAAAUGUCAGUGUCCAUGACUUGGGCCAAAGCACAGCCAUUUCGACUGGAUGAAGAAGGAAAAGACAAACACAAGAGGAUGCUAUUAGCAGACGGGCCUGGAGGGACGCUUGGGCUGGGGGCUGGGCAGAGGUAGGGCAGGAGAGGGUCCCGUCCUGAUCCUGGGCUUUUCCUGUUUGUCUUUCUGUGCUAGAGACACACGCCUGGUGGCCUGUGGCUGGGCUAUAAUCAGAGAGAUGGCAGGCAGCUCCCUGAUAUAGCUCCCAGGAGGGGGCUCACUGGGCAGGAAGGUGGAGAACACAAGCGUAAGUGGCCCCAAAGCCACCACUUCUUGGUUCUGAGUUCUCAAGAGGAGGAACUAGGUCCCUGACAUUCAGGAUCCUUCUUGCCCUGGACUGGAUUCCCUGUCUGCUUCACUUAAUGUUUUUAUGGGAGAGACUUAGCUUUCCUCUGGCCCACGGCUCCCUCGGGGUGGGAUCCCAUCUGAUCUGGGGUCUGGCACACUUUUGGAAGGACACUGAGUCUCACCCGCCAGCCCGACCCCACUUCCUCUGGGCCCCCAGCCCUCUACGACCAUGAUGGGUUCCCCUGGGUUUUCAGGACAUGGGAGUCAGACAGCCCAGCCUGUGCCAGCAGUCCCAGCUGGGCCGGGCUCUCCUCGGGCCUGGCAGCCCCUCCAGAGCCAGACCCCGUGGGCAGCGGGGCCCAGGAGCUGCUCCAGGCCCCCCGUGGCAGCCCCUACGGACUGGCCGGGGCCUGACGGCCAUGCCCUGGGGGAGGGGCCAUUACUUACAACUGGGUCUGGAAGACCACAACCAGGGCGGAGAAGGUGACCCCCACCGCCACACCGUAGGGCAGGCUCAGGAAGAAGGCGGAGAGGAAGCUCACCACCCAGACGCACUGUGAGGAGAGAGACGUCAGGGCAGGCCUGGGGGGGCCUGCCCCACUGGGGAAGUCUUCAGGGGUCAGCCAAGGCCCUUCUCUGCUAGCCCAACCUCACACCACCCUUCCCUCUUCAUGGCAGUUUCCCAGUAUUUCACGUAGGCGAGCUUUUGUGACACCUGCCCAUUUCCAGUGGACUGAGGGUGGCUUCCUGGUCUUGUCUGGCUGUUAUAGUUAACCCCCGUGCCCACUGGGAGCUGGCGUGGCACAAAGACUGUGAGUCUUGGGACAGAUACACCUGGGCUCCAAGUUUCGUUGUCCUACUUGUGAAUAUUCACUUACUAGCUAUGUGAAUCCUGGAGAAGGUCAUGGCAGCCCACUCCAGGAUUCUUGCCUGGGAAUCCCAUGGACAGAGGAGCCUGGUGGACUACAGUCCAUGGUGUUGCAAAGAAGUCGGACACGACUGAAGCAAGUUAGCACACACACACAGCUAUGUGAAUAAUAGUACCAGCUUCAUGAAAGGACUGAAGAAUUAAUGAAGAUAAAGUCCUGCCAAGCCUAGUGAUGGGUACAAUAACUAAUUAACCACAGAGACUUAACCAUACUUCGGCUACCUGAUACGAAGCGCUGACUCAUU